CUUUAUCACUUCAAAUUUGACUUAGCUUGGUAAAGUUUAGGAAUUAGACUGCAAUUUUAUCCUUUAUUCCUUUUUGUAAUCAGUUCUGAUUUUCUAUGCCUAUACCACUUAUAAUCACUAAAAUCUAUCUUUCUGUAGUUAAUAAACUUAUUUUAAUGUUUUAGCUAAGCCAGUGUGUUUUUGACUGAAGUUUGGGGAAUCUACUCAGGUUACAAAGGCUGGUGCAUAUUCGUACCCUUUGAUAGAAUGACAAACUAAUUAAUGAGCUUACUCUGAUGAAGGGGGGCUUGAGCAAGGUAAGACUCACAUUUCUGGGGUGUCAGGCUGGCACUACGGAUAUGCAGGUGUCGCCCUAUUUGUAAUUCCAGAGUGGCUAGGCAUAGCGUUCUGGGUGUGACUUGCAUACAGGAGGCUGGGGUGAGUGGGCAGAGUGGCAGCUCACACUGCAAAGCAGGGCAUAGUGCACACCAGACUGGAGAGUUAAGGGGGCACAGCAAUUCCACAGUCCAAAAUGUACUUUGGGGCAUGUCACACUCAGUCAAUGGACUUUCUGCAGUAUUGCCAAUGCCAAAAGUUCAUAAAUCUUGAGUUGGUCCCCAAAGUCACAAGACUGGCUUAAAAAUCUUUCGGUUUUUUUAAGGUGGCAUCUUUUUAUUUGGCUUGUGGUUUUUAACCUGUAGGUCACACUGGAAAUCACAUUUGCAAGCUCUUCUCCUCAACCAUGAGGGCUGCCAACUUAAUUGUUUCUCUUAAUCCUAGCUGAGAUUCUCAAGUAGUCACUUAUCUCCAGGCACUGGGACUUUAAAUAGAAUAUCAAAUAUUGUGAGACUUGUAAUAAAACUGUGAGAAUGGGUAAUAACACUGUUUCUGUGAGCUAAUAGGGCUUUUAAUCUCAACUUCUGUGAUUCAUUGUGGAGUUACACACCUUUUGGGAGGUUGGCAAACACCCCAAUCCUCAGGUCAGCAUAAUGACACAACAGCCUGAUGCAAGCCCCUUCAUAGUGAAAUGGAGGUUUCUGUCUUCAUACCUGAUCAGUAGGAGACUGGGAGCCAGAGAAGCAACUGGAAAACCACAGAGUGACUUAAAGCUGAGAUCUACUCAGUACAGCUCCAAGUGACUCAACUGGCAAAGACAGAAGACUCUGACAAAAGAGAAAAUGGGAGGCUGCAAUCCAAACUGAUCUAAACCAUAAACUUUGAGCUGCGCAACGGACACCACUCUUGAAAUGGCUAUUUGCCUCCAGUAUCCUAGUUCCAGACAAUUUGGCUGCUUGGUCUAUUGCACGUCAUGUUCCCAGUGUAUCCUAUAUACCAGAACUAGACAUGUACAAGAAAAAAAGACCAAUGUGGCAAAGAUUUUCCUUUCUUGUUACAAUCCAUCCACUUUUACAAUGUUACCUUUUCUCGUGCUGUGAGGAGAAACUGAAAACCAGCAAUGCACAAACCACACACAAAUUCGAGGUUUGUUUCACAGACGCACCAAAAAGAUACCUUAAUUUUAGAGAAGGCAGCCAGCUAGAAUUGUGUGAACCUCUUAACCCUCUGGUCUUAAUGAAAAAUUCCACUCUGAGUGCUGACCUGGGAGUGGGUGGGUGUCAUAUCUGACUUGCUUGCUGCAUUCCAUUUCUUAUAAUUCUUUGGCCUUUCUGCAACAUUCCUUUCUUGGAUUUAUACCUUUUUAUGGUCUUGAAAUUCAUCUGUGGGGUUCCCUCUUCUCAUGGAACUACAAUAAAGUUGUUUUCUACUCUUUGUAUCUAGAUCUUCACUUAGCACAAAAUGGCACUGCCAGACAGAUUCCUUGUUUGAUUUACUUAACUCCACUAUUCACAUUUGAAGGUUUCUACACUUCCUAAGCACCUCAUGACUAUAAUAUCAGCUUACUAUCUGAUAUGUCCUCUCUCUGAGGAUUCUACCAUGCCUUUGCAAAAGACAGACUCAAGGAUUUAACAGGUCUCUUCAUCUCUAACUACUGAGAACUUAAGUCCAUUUAAAGAUUUUGCUUUUAUCUUAUAAGACCCUUGUGGAUCUUAGAAAUUUUAUGGUGCAGUUUGUUCUUUUGAAGUGACGUGUGAGAGAUUUUCUGUCAGCAGGAAUCUGCUUCAGUCUGGUCUGGAUUUUGGGAAGGGACCCCAGCUCUAUGGGCUAGCUAGGGCAGGCCCCAAUGAACAGAAAAUGAGGGGACAACAGGGACUGGUAAGUCUCUAACAUUAAAAUGCUUUUGUGGCAACAUCCUCAGCUGAUGUAAAUCACAAUAGCUCUAUUUAAGUCAAUGGAGCUAUGUUAGUUCACAGCAGCUGAUGAUCUGCCCAUUUAUGUUUUAAAAAGAGAAGAAAAAUCCCAAACUCAGGCAAAAUUUACCUUGUGCAGCCUGGCCUGUGGAUGGUAUCCUGGUUUGUGUCAUGCUUGAGAUGAACAGAAUGCACAAAUUAUUUCUUUCAUCUGCCGUUAAAUGUCAAAAAUGAGUAAUAGACAAAACCCUUAAAACAUAAACUAAUAUGUGAGAGACCUAAUUAAUUUAGAAAAAAGUGAGAAAAUUAGGUUUUUUAAAUUGUAUCUAAUUUAAUUAGAAUUUUACAGUCCAGUUAGCAGCAAAAGAAGACUCUCUUGUAGAAGCUGUGGGUCUUUGUGAACUGACUGGCUAUGUGGUGUGCUAAGGGCUAGAAAUAAUAGGCAGAUGAAUGAUCCUUCCAAAGCAAAAUCACACAGUCCAUCCAGCUCUGUCAGAUAUUCUGUCCUAUUUGUUCUCAGAUGCUCCUGUUCACUGUAAAGUAAAGCAGAUGAUGAAACAAUAAAAGGCACCCAACACAAACAGCAAUUCAGCAAAACAGGGAAACAAAGAUAACUGAGGAACUCUGUCCAUAACAAAGGGAAGAACCAAGGAGAAAGCAAGUGGCCAGACGCUUCUUGUAUUUGUUAAAAUAAUGUCCAAAAUUAACAUUUUCUGCUGUGGUGCUCCCUACAAAAUCCAGGAUUGCAGAGCAAGAGAGUACUGUGAUUCCUGGCUUGAUGAGCACAACAGCUCCCAGGAGGUGGUGCUCCAGGGCAAGAGAUGGAGGAGGUUGGUGUAGAUGUUUUCAAACUACCUUUAAGAGAAAGGAGUCAAUGCAGGAAAAGUUUCACAGGGCUUAUUCCCUUUCCAGCAGCCACUGGCUGCUACCAGGACUUUCCCAAAGUACAACAGCUAGUACAUCUCUCUGGUGACCUCAGAAAAAGAACUCUGGGAAGAGCAGCUCUGACUGAAGACUAUUACUACCGUGAAGCCUUAUUCUAUGUUGUUGCAGGCUUGUUGUAUCCCUGUUGGUCCCAGGAGAUUAGAGAGACAAGGUGAGUGAGGUAAUAUAUUUUAUUGGACUAACUUCUGCUGGUGAAGGAGACAAAUUUGCAAGCAACACAGAGCUCUUCAAUAUGUAUUU